GACGAACGCUGGCGGCGUGCUUAACACAUGCAAGUCGAACGGAAAGGCCCUGCUUUUGUGGGGUGCUCGAGUGGCGAACGGGUGAGUAACACGUGAGUAACCUGCCCUUGACUUUGGGAUAACUUCAGGAAACUGGGGCUAAUACCGGAUAGGAGCUCCUGCUGCAUGGUGGGGGUUGGAAAGUUUCGGCGGUUGGGGAUGGACUCGCGGCUUAUCAGCUUGUUGGUGGGGUAGUGGCUUACCAAGGCUUUGACGGGUAGCCGGCCUGAGAGGGUGACCGGCCACAUUAGGACUGAGAUACGCCCCAGACUCCUACGGGAGGCAGCAGUGGGGAAUAUUGCACAAUGGGCGGAAGCCUGAUGCAGCACCGCCGCGUGCGGGAUGACGGCCUUCGGGUUGUAAACCGCUUUCGCCUGUGACGAAGCGUGAGUGACGGUAAUGGGUAAAGAAGCACCGGCUAACUACGUG
rnacentral:rRNA from 1 species